rnacentral:lncRNA from 1 species
CUCCUCUCUCACUUCCCAGGUAAGGACAGGCCUCCCACGUCCAGGGCAGGUCCCCCAGGCUUCAGCAGUCCCCUCUGGCUCAGAUCUUCCAGCAACUUCAUGCUGGUAAGUGAGCCAGCAGCCAUAUCCACCUGUGUCUGCAGGUUCCCUCUCCCAGCCUGUGCUGACUCAGCCGCCCUCCCUCUCUGCAUCUCUGGAAGCACCAGCCGCACUUCCCUGCAUCCUGAGCACUGGCGUCCAUGCUGAUUUCUAUUGGAUAUACUGGUACCAGCAUAAGCCAGGGAGCCCUCCCUGGUAUCUCCUGAGCCACUACCAAAAUGUACUUCAUGACCAGGGCUCCAGGGUCCCGAGCUGCUCCUCUGGAUUGAUGGAAGGCUGGUCCAAUAAAGGGCUUUUGCUCAUAUCUAAGCUCCAGUCUGAGGACGAGGCUGACUAAUUACUGUGUGAUUGAGCACAGCAGUCCUUCGCACACUGACACACAGGUGGGGAGGCGGGAUAAAACCUCAGCCUGCUCAGAGUCUUGUUCUCUGACAAUGUUUAGAUAUUAAAAUAACUCACAUAUACAAACUUCACAGGAAAGCACUUUCUGGCUCAAAAAAUACUCUCUUCUCAAUUCUCCAUAGAAUGUUUCUGAAGUCUCAGGAAUGCUGAAAACAAAAACAAAAACCUCCUGAUACACUGCGGUGUUGCCCGGUUAUCUAGAUGAGCAAAACUCAGAGCCUGUGGAGUUGACUUUUUUAUUAUUAUUAUUUUUUGGAAGAAGAGAAAUGAGCCUUUCCUAGUUUUCUUUUCGGCCAGAGGCCGGAGACCAUUCAAGCAGGUAGACAGUCGCUACAGCAUGGACUACUGUCUUUGAGGGAUCAGAGCAGAAACCUCCUUGUCCCUCUCCAGUCACCUCCCUCCAACCCCGAUCAUCUGUGCUUGGGGCUGCCUGAGGCUCCCCGUGACCCAGGGAUGAGGCACUAAGGUGUGAAAUGAGUGAGGACACAGGUCCCAGGGGAGUUCCAGCGAAGAUGUGGCCAGAGUCACUCACAGGCGAAGACACAACCUGAAGUCUGCAGUCUGCCACACAGAAGACAGUCCUCACCAGGGCCCAACCAGGCUGGCACCCUGAUAUCCGACUUCCAGCCUCCAGAACUGGGAGAAAUACAAUUCUGUCUGCCCUGGGGAUGAGCUCCCCAGGCUAUGGCUCUUUGCUCUAACAGCCUGA